ensembl:lncRNA
GGCGCGGCGUGGGAAGCGGGUGUGCGUUUAAUAAUCGGUCGUGAGAAUACAGUACUAGAAAAAAGUCUGCAGUUUGCGAUGAACCCAAGACAGAAGUUGCUUGCGAGGCUGAGUCGAGGUGGGCCUGAGCCCCACCGCUCAUAAAGUGGGGUGCUACUUUAGGGAAAUUCGAGAAUGUGGGAAUUCUAAAAAAGAUAUUUUUUUUUUUUUGCUGGUGUCCUGGAGGAGACAACUACCUUCAUUAAUAACCAGGAAAAAGCUGGGUGAAAAAGUGGAGAACCGGGACCACAAGUACUGGGUGGGCGUCCUGCCCCUCACACUAAACUAUAAAUGUCUCUGGAUUCUGCUAGCAGCCUUCGUACAGCUUUCAAUAAGUUCCGAACAUCACAGUCUGGAGUUCCAGUCCACAGUACAGCAGGAUCUGGACAGAUUUAAUCAGACGACUGUAUUUGACGGUGAAAUCGUCUUUUAUUGUGAUGAUAACGGGCUGAGAGACGAACCCAGACAGGACUGGGUCCAUCAAACAUUCAAUACUGAAGAUCUGGAGGAAAGACGGGACUUCUGUAGUUAUCAGUACCAGGAACAAGUAACACGAUUUGAGGAAAUCCUGGAAAUGAUCACUGAUACAGCAGGUUUUGUCCAGAGACGCCGCGGCUGCACUGGCAACAGGUCAGAGGUCACAAGUUUUGACAAAUGGGGUCUAAAUGGUGACGACUUUCUGACCUUCAACACCACGACCCAAACAUGGGAACCUGAUUCUGAACUGGCUGCUCCAGUAGCUUCAAUCUGGAACCAGAACAGUUACUGGGAUCUUGUAGAUGGUGAAUUCAGCCAGAACUGGUGCAGAAAAAUCCUUCAUGUGUUUGUAGAGAAGAAAGCAGCAGGGAGGAAACAUCCAGAAACAGAUGUAUUAGACAAAGAGACCAUCACCGUUUGGAACUGGACGAAAGUGGUCGUGGUCGUGGUCGUGGGUCUGGUGCUUGUUCUUUUCUGCCUUGUUGCCUGUUACAUCAGACGAAAUGAAAGAUGUCAAGAGCUGAUCAGAGGGCAACAUCACAUCAGGAACGUUGAAGAGAACAAUAACCGUCUUCUCCAUGGCUGAGGUGGCUCCUCACCAGAAGACACUGACAAGCAGACAGUGAAUGAAGUCUGUUCAUCUAACAGCAGUUCAGGUUCUGUAGAAUUACAAGAAGUACCUUUCUCUGGCGAAGUUCUGCUCCAUUCUCCUGGCCGAAAACAGGGGAAACAAAAGGCCGCAGGCGUGUGGUGAUUGCCAGAAGACCAAACAACAUAACACACAAUAAUUGCAGAGUCCACAAAAGAAUGUCGCAGCCGCUUUAAACAGGUGAGUCCCCAGGUGCCGUCUGUUGGGAUGGUUGUUGUGGCACGAGCUGAAUUCUGUGUGACACCGGAUGUUAUACCAUCCAUUCUGUUAAUAGUACAGAAUAGAAUGAAACAUGGUGGCGGCGGUGCUUUGUUUCUUGAAGAAGAGCACAGAGAUUUACUAGACACAACGCGAGACUACGGCAGACUGGCCGAGAGAGCGGAGAGUUCAGGCGCAGAGCGGAUGGAAAACUCGUUGGGACUGAGACCGCCAGCAAACCUUUGCUUGGACUCAACUAAUCUGGCGAAAUCAUGGAAAACGUGGAAAGAAGAGUUUAUGCUGUAUCUCACUUUGGCGGAUGCCGGCGAAAACGUGACACUGAAAGUUCUCAGCUAUCUCAUUGGGGAGACGGGAAGAGAUCUUUGUCACCGGAUUGGACUGAGGACCGAUUGAUAAGUACUUUGGAUGAUCAUCGUAAUCCAAAAGUGAACGAGGCAGUUGAGAGGUACCGUUUUUUGUCAGGAAUCAGUUUUCGGAAGAGAAAGGUGAUAAAUAUGUGUUGGAAAAUAUAUAUAAGUUAUCAUGCAAUUACCUUUUAUUUCCUUUUUGACAUUUAUAUCUCACAUGUAUUAAACUGUAUUAUUCUUUUUAAUAUGCGCACUAUAUUUAAUCAUUAGUCUCUUGGAUGAGAAACUGGUGGGCUAAAGGUUGUUUGCAGAACAGAAUGACCGCGACUUGAUAAGAGGAGGCCUGCAGCCGCAGCGAAGCAAGAAAACAAGAAGACCUUGCCGAUGGAGCGUCUACCAAGAGACAACCCUACAUGCAAAUUAUAAGCUUAUAUGGUGUGAUCCUGUGAUGAAUGUACCGCCCUUUAUUAAAUAAAAAGAGAAGAAGCGGAAGAGACGGCAGAGCUUUUGGAGGCAUGGUUGUCUCUGAUCGCUCUCCUUGCAAGUAAAAAGAACUCAACUGCUUCGUGUCAUAUCUCUCUAUUUUAUAAGUGUUGGAUAAGAUGGAUAACUCUAACAAUAUGUAACGGACUUAAGAAUGCUCGCCAGUACGUGCAAUUUCUGCCAGAUGAAAGACUCUCUGAUCCACGAUAGAAUUGUUUGUCAAGAGAAAACAGCUGAACAAUUGAAGGGUGAGUGGCAGAGGAGGUGCGAAAAGGUCAUAAAUAAACAGAAAUGUCCUGCAUAUGGAAAAAAGUGCAAAAAAUGUGGAAAAGACAAUCAUUAUUCUGCCUUGUGCAGGCUGUAAGUUGGCCUAUAGCGCCCUCUAGCGGCUGUCUCGUCAUAUUAUUUUGGUUACUCUGAAAACGGGAGAAUAAGAAUCCAGAUGGCGGAACAUAGUGCCGAAGCAUUCCCGUAUUGAGCAAGAAUUUUGUUGCUCUGGACAAGAAUUGUCUGUAAGUAUUGGUUAUGACGAGAUAAGCACUUUCUUUUUGUUUUGUGUUUACAAUAUAAUUAUUUGUAUAUUAGUAGCG